AUUGGACUCUGGCGGCAGGCCUAACACAUGCAAGUCGAGCGGAUGAAGGGAGCUUGCUCCUGGAUUCAGCGGCGGACGGGUGAGUAAUGCCUAGGAAUCUGCCUGGUAGUGGGGGAUAACGUCCGGAAACGGGCGCUAAUACCGCAUACGUCCUGAGGGAGAAAGUGGGGGAUCUUCGGACCUCACGCUAUCAGAUGAGCCUAGGUCGGAUUAGCUAGUUGGUGGGGUAAAGGCCUACCAAGGCGACGAUCCGUAACUGGUCUGAGAGGAUGAUCAGUCACGCUGGAACUGAGACACGGUCCAGACUCCUACGGGAGGCAGCAGUGGGGAAUAUUGGACAAUGGGCGAAAGCCUGAUCCAGCCAUGCCGCGUGUGUGAAGAAGGUCUUCGGAUUGUAAAGCACUUUAAGUUGGGAGGAAGGGCAGUAAGUUAAUACCUUGCUGUUUUGACGUUACCAACAGAAUAAGCACCGGCUAACUUCGUG
rnacentral:rRNA from 1 species